AUGGCUCAGGAUGAACGCUAGCUACAGGCUUAACACAUGCAAGUCGAGGGGCAUCAUAGUCAAGCUUGCUUGAUUGAUGGCGACCGGCGCACGGGUGAGUAACGCGUAUCCAACCUUCCCCUUAGUAGGGCAUAGCCCGGCGAAAGUCGGAUUAAUACCCUAUGUUGUGUCAUGAGGACAUCUGAAUAACACUAAAGAUUUAUCGCUAAGGGAUGGGGAUGCGUCCGAUUAGCUUGCCGGCGGGGUAACGGCCCACCGGGGCGACGAUCGGUAGGGGUUCUGAGAGGAAGGUCCCCCACACUGGUACUGAGACACGGACCAGACUCCUACGGGAGGCAGCAGUGAGGAAUAUUGGUCAAUGGGCGAGAGCCUGAACCAGCCAAGUAAGCGUGCAGGAUGACGGCCCUAUGGGUUGUAAACUGCUUUUAUGCGGGGAUAAAGUGACGUACGUGUACGUUUUUGUAGGUACCGCAUGAAUAAGGACCGGCUAAUUCCGUGCCAGCCGCCGC
rnacentral:rRNA from 1 species